AUUGAACGCUGGCGGCAGGCUUAACACAUGCAAGUCGAGCGAGCGGCUGACGCGUGAGUAAUGUCCGGGAAACUUCCUGACGGAUUGGGAUAACUACUGGAAACGGUAGCUAAUACCCCACACCAUCUAUCGUCCCCAGAUGGGAUUAGCUACUAGUUGGGGUAAUGGCCAACCUGGGCGACGAUCCCUAGCUGGUCUGAGAGGAUGACCAGCCACACUGGGGCUGAGACACGGUCCAGACUCCUACGGGAGGCCGCGGUGGGGAAUAUUUCACCAUGGGCGCAAGCCUGAUGAAGCCAUGCCGCGUGUAUGAAGAAGGCCUUCGGGUUGUAAAGUACUUUCAGCGGGGAGGCGUUACCCGCAGAAGAAGCACCGGCUAACUCCGUGCCAGCAGCCGCGGUAAUUC
rnacentral:rRNA from 1 species